AGUAAACAAUAGAUCUUUUUUAUUAUUAUUAUUAUUAUUAUUAUUAUUAUUAUUAUUAUUUUUAUUUUAUUUUAAAUGUAACUCACUAACUAUUCUAGGGUCGAAAUUUAGAGAGGGAAAAUGUGAUAAAUAAUCUACACAAGGCGUUACCUUCUAAACUUGUCUGAAGAAUCCGAUCCCAUGUAUACCAAGCCCCAAGACAAGCGGUUAUGUCAAGUUUAGUGUUGGAAAUCAGCUUUUGUUACUUCAUACGUUCAAGACAAGUGUGUAGUUGAUAGGUUGAUCUGCUUUAGCAUCUAUAGUGCUAUCUACAAUCAGUAAAUCUAAAAUGGUGCUAAAGAUUGAUUAGAUAUUCAAGUUUAAAUCAAUAUAAGAUUAUAGUCCCAUUUUCAAUAGCUAAGCAUAAUUUAUUAAAAUUCCUUUGAUAUAAGAAUAAAAUAAAUUAUAUCAGUAAAUCUCCCCCCAGAUUUAAAUUACACUGUCCCAGUGUAACUCAACCGGAGUUAUGAUGGAAUAGUUCAUGAUGUACAAGAAAUCUUCUCAGAGAAGACUUCUUUGUAAAUCUUCUCGUUCAGUAGAUCUUAAAAAUAAUUUAAAAUUUCAUAAAAAAAAUAUUUUGAUGGGAAAAAAAUUGAAAUCAUGUAAUAAUAAACAUUUCUAAAUGAUGUAAAUUUAUUUUUACUAAAAUUAAAUUAUUUUCAACAUAUAUGACUGAAAGUAAAUAAACUCAUGAUAGUCAUUGGUUUAGGUUUUGGUAGCAUAUGUUAUAAUAUUGUUGGUAUAUUUAGGGUUAGAUUUUGAAAUCUUAUUUUUUGUUUUUUUUUUAAUUUUUUUGACCUGUAUGUGUUUAGUGAUUAUCUAAUAACUUGAUUAAAACACUUUAUAAGUAUCUUAAAAGUUUAAUGAAGUGUUUUUGUUUUGUUUAGUUAUUUGAUUAUAGGGUCUGGAAGACUCACAAAAGACUUCCCAAAAAGUCUUCUGACAUAUCCCACCUAAAUUUUAGUAGAAUUUAGGGUUCAAGAAUUUAGGUUUCCUGCCUCGAAGUCUUCCAUAAGUCUUCUAGAAGUAUUCUAGGGAAGUCUUCCCAUGUAUUAGAUCUUAAAAGUAAUUAAUAAAUUUUAUAAAAAAUAUUUUGAAAGAGAAAAAAAUAAAAAUCAUGUAUAAAUACACAUUUCUAAAUGAUAGAAAUUUAGUUUUACUAAAAUUAAAUUGUUUUUAACAUAGAUGAAUUGAUGUAGAUUGAGUCAUGAUAGCCUUCGGUUUAUGGUUUGGUAAUAUAUGUUAUAGUAUUGUUGGUAUUUUUAGAGUUAGAUAUUGAAAUAUUAUUUUUUUAAUUUUUUUUAGUUUGACAUAUAUGUGUUUAGUGACUAUCUAAUUACUUGAUUUAAACACUUUCUAAGUUUCUCUUAAGUCUAAGGAAGGGUUUUUGCUUAGUUUUUUUGAUUAUAGGGCCUGGAAGACUCCUAGAGAACUUUGGUUUAUGGUUUAGUUACAUGUGUUAUAGUAUUGUUUGUAUUUAGGGUUUAAUUUUAGAACCUUAACUUUUUAAAAAAAAAAUUGAUCUACAUGUGUUUAGUUUUGUGUAUAUUAAACGAUUUAUAAGUUGAUUUUAAGUUUAAUGAAUUGUUUUUUUUCUAUCUAGUUAGUUAGUUUAUUAGGUUAUGGUUUGAAAAACUUCUAGAAGACUUCUUGGGAAGUCUAAAAUUUGGAUAUGUAUUAUUGUGUGUUUUAUAUAUUAGAUUCUAAAAUGUUAUAGAUUCAACUUAAUGUGACAAUUUUUUUUAAUUUAAGCAUAACAUUAUAUUUUUGAAGUUUUUCUCUGUUUUGAAGCCAUUUGAAUGUUUUUGAAUUUGCAGGUUUUUUCAUAUCUGAGACAGACUUUGAAAGAAUUUUCAGAAGACUCUCGAAAGACUUCUCAGAAUACUUUAGGCAAGUCUUCUAAUGCAUUUUAUGCUAGAAAACUGACUUCCCACGAAAUCUUCAGGAAGUCUUCCGAAGUCUUCUGCCCAAAGCGGUACAAAUUUUGGAUAUGUAUUUUGUGUGUGUUUAUAUAUAAGAUUCUAAAAAGUUAUAGAUUCAACCUAAUUUGAUUGUUUUGUUUAUUAUAUAAACAUAAAAAGCUACUUUUGAAGGUUUCUCUGUUUUGAAGUAAUUUGAAUGUUUUUGAAUAUGCAGAUUUUUCAUAUCUGAGUCAGACUUUGAAAAACUUCUCAGAAGACUAUUGGAAGACUCUCAGAAGACUUCUUGGGAAGUAUUCUAAUGUAUUUUAUGCUAGAUGACUUCCUGCGAAGUCUUCGGGAAGUCUUACAAAGUCUCCUGCCCAAGGUGGUACAAAGGAAUGAUGUGAGAUGGAGUCCAAGCUUAUCUAUGUGGAGGAAUUAUAUCUAGUUCCAUGUUUAAUAGUUUUGUUUAUGGCGUGUUUUAUGAUUUGUAUGUUUAUGAUUUUAGUUGUGAAUUUUUUUGUAAACUUGAAGAGAUGUUAAUCAAAAGAAUUUGGUAUAUAUUUUCAUGUUUUCCCCAAAUUAAUUGACAUUAUUGAAGUUAUUGAUACAACAUACCAAGAAUUUUUUUAAACCAUUCUACCCACUCAUAACAAAACAUAAUAACACAAAAACUCAGUCAAAAUUAUACCGUAUAAUCUAAAGAGACACAUUAAACCACAUGAUUUGAUAUUCUUGAAGUUACUUAACCCUUUUGAAAGUUAAAAGCAUACCUUGAAGUUACUUAACACUCUUGAAAAUCAUACAUAGAAGACUUCUCCAGAAGUCAUCUAAAGAAGACUUCUUUAGCUAGAAACAUUAGUAAACAUAAAUAUUUUGAAAUCUCAUAAUUAUCACCAAAUAAGUUAUGAAUUUAAUCCAGGAGCCCUAAUAUUGACGAAUACACAUGAAUUAAUAAGAAAAUAUUAAAAAGUCAUUUUAAUUGUAGAGAAAAUGAAAGUUUAUUAAAUAUUGACGUAGAAGACUUCUACGGAAGUCUUCUAUUUAGGUCAUUUUAUCAAUUGCAAAUUUACGAAGGAAGACUUCUUAAGAAGUCUACUCUACAUAAGACAUCUUGAGAAGUCUUCCUUUGUAAAUAUUGGCUUAAUUUUGAAUUUGAAAAAUCUUCUUAAGAAGUCUACUCUACAGAAGACAUCUUGAGAAGUCUUCCUUUGUAAAUAUUGGCUUAAUUUUGAAUUUGAAAAAUUCUCGAAACUGCCUGAGAAGACUUCUCGAAAAGUCUUCUUGGAUAAACAUGUUAGUUUUGCAAUUGACUGACGUUUGUCGGAAACUUCGAGAAUAAGUCCUCAUUAAUAUUAAAUGUUUCACUGUUAUUUUUCAAUUUCAAAAGUAACCCACGCAGACUUCUUAGGACAGUGAGUAGACUUCGAAAAAACUUUUCAGAAGACUUCUAUAGAAGUUUUUUAUGAGAAGACUAUAAAAAUUCAAAUUUCUGACAAACUUUGUUCAAUUGCAAAACUAAUCUAUUUAUCUGAGAAGACUUCUCAAGAAGUUUUCUCUGGGAUUUUUGUUUUUUUUCUUAAUAAAGGAAAGUUAGAAGACUUCUACGGAAGUCUUCUUGAUGGGGAACACAUCUAGCAAAAUCUUCUAAAAGUCUUCGCGAACAGAUCUGAGAAAAAAAUGAUUUCAUAUCUUGAGCCUGUGAGAUUACUUGUUUUGCUUCUCCAAGUACCCAAAACUUCAAUACAAAAGCUACCAAGUCGUUAAUGACCACGAAUCAUGAGCUUCAAUGUCUCUAUGAACCUUACAAAGCUUGGAAUCAAAAUCUUAUUUUUUUGGAUGAGUUUGAAAAGAGAAUGAAAGAUAUGUGGUUUGUGUGCAUAAGUAAUGAGAUAUGAAGAGUAAAAAUCGAAACUUUGGUGCAUUAAGAGCUUCAAAUUGGUUGUUCAUGUUGGUUAGUGUAUUGAUGGCAAUGACAAUAUUGGAAAUACUUGGUGAAGAUGAGGAUGAUAAGGUAAAAGAAUAUUUUGCACAAAAAGAAAGAAAAAAAUAAUGGCAUUUUCGUGAAUAACUCAAACUUCUAGGGUGAAUAAAGAAUUUUUUUUUUCAAAAAAACAUGGGUUAUUUUUGUGUUUGAUUUGAAAUUUUAGGUCAUAUUUGAAAAAAGCUCUUAAAUAUUCAAAAUUUAUAGAUUUACCUUUAAACGAAUGGAAGAUGAGAACCAUGUGAUAAAAAAUCUGUAAAAACAAGAUAAAAUAGUGAGAUGAGACCAAAAAAUAAAAAAAUUCACAUAAAGUUUGAUGUUUUAAAGUUCAAAGAGAUGAGAGAGAAGUUGAAGAGUUUUAGUGAGAAUCAUUAUAUCUUUGUUGCAGCCAUUUGAGAGGCACAUAAAGAAUGUGUAUAUUUUCUUUAUAUAUGAAGAAAUUUUUUUUCUGUUUAGGUUAAAUAUUUUCAAUUCAGAAGAUUUUCAAGGAAAUCUUUUAAAAUUCUGUCUCUAAAUAUACUACUCGUCCAGAAGACUUCUGAAAGUCUUCUAGACCCUAAAUUUAUACCAUAAACUUAAAUAACUAACUUAAAAAAAUACUUCACUAAACUUAAACUAAUCUUUGAAAGUGUUUAAUAUACAAGAAACUAAACACAUAUAGGUUAAAUUUUAAUUUUCUGAAAAAAUAUUAAGCUUCCAAAAUCUAACCCUAAAAAUACAAACAAUACUACAACAUAUGUUACCAAACCCUAAACCAAAGAAUACUAUGACUCACAUUGUUCACUCACCUGUGUUGAAAACUUUUUAAUUUUACUAUAUCUUAAUUUUUAUCAUUUGCAAAUGUUUAUAGUUGCAUGAUUUCAAUUUUCUCCCCAUCAAAAUAUUUUUAAUAAAAUGUAUAAAUUAUUUUUAAGAUCUAUAAUACGAGGGAAGUCUUCUCUUAGAAAACUUAUAAAACCCCUAGAAGACUUCCAUGGGUUAUAUUUGUAAAAGUACAUUCUGUUUUUUUUUUAUCAUAAGGGCUAUUUAAAAUUUCGCUAGCCUUUUGGUUUACUUUUGCAUUUGAUUCAAGUUCGGAUAUACCUUUGUGUCUAAAAUCAAGUUACAGCUCAUAUUUGGCAAUUUUCCUUAAAAGAUGAUACUAGGUUCAUUUCAUCAAUUACAUUUAUUCGAUUAUUUACAUUAAUAUAUUAAAUAUAUAACCUUUGUAAAAAUCUUAAUAACUAUAGAUAAUAUAUAUAAUAAAUCAAUUUUAACUUUAAAUUUAAAUUUACUUCUAAUUAUAAAAAAAAAUUGUUGUGUAAAAAUCUGAUAAAAUCUUACAAAAAUUUUAUAAAUAUUUUUUAAAAUUAAUUUGGUGAUUAAUUUAAUAAUUAGAAAAUAAUAUAAUUGUAAAUUAACGUUAAAAUUUAUUAUAAAACAAAAAAUAAAAUACUAUGAUAUUUGUUUAUAAAUUUUAUAAUUAUGGUAAAUAUUAUAUUAAAGUAGAAGUAAUAGAUAAAUAACAUAUGAAAGAUAAUAUUGAGCGGGCCUUGUGGUCCAGUGGUAGUGGAUGGACCUUGGAUGAAAACACAUUCCGGGUUCGAUCUUCUUGCUGCGGAAACUAAGUCACAUUGUUCUGCUCACCACGGCUGCGGAUAUGUCCGUAUGAAAACCUGGGAGAGGGCCUGUCGUGGGCUGCACCUCCCACCCGGGGGUUAGGUCUGUGUCUUUAAUAGACUCGGGUUUAACUCUUUUUUAACAAAAAAAACAUAUGAAAGAUAAUAUUAAAUUCGUAAAUUAAAAUAUUUUUAAAAAUUACUUUCAUCAAAAUAAAAUAUCAUUCACUGUUUAAAAGGAUUAAAAUUUAUAAAAUAUGUAAUACUUUUAUACAAAAUAAAAUUGUUAACAUAUGUUAAACCUUUUUAUCUACACCAAUAUAUUAAACAUAUUUUAUUUCAAAAAUCACAACAAUAUAUUAGCUAAAGUAAUUAUAUACAAAAUAUAGUAGGAUAUAACUUACAUAAAAAAUCUUACGAACACUUUCAGCUUCUUUUUACUAAAAUAGUGCAUUAGUUUAUUAACAAAAAAAAAUCAAAAGGUAUUGAUAAAAUAUAGUAAAACAAUAUGAUAGAUACUCUAUGUAUUAAAUCUAUUAAAAUAGUUGGCCUAAAUUACUUAAACUGAACAAUAUAUUUAUUUAUAAAAUUCUGCAUAAUACUGAUCGAUACUAAAAUAUAUAUUUAAACACAACAAGAAAAUAUAAAUAAUCCUAAAAAAAAUAUUUCUAAAGUAUAACUAAAUAAAAUUAUAAAGGUAUUGUAUGCAAACUAUAUAACUAAAUAUAUAUUUUGAAGAAGAUUCUCUAUUUUGAAUUUAUUGUAAUGAACUCAAAAAUAUAUUAGUAUGUAAUAACAAUUAAUAGCAAAAUAAAAUGUAUAAAAAAAAUCAUUAUAUAUUAUUAAUGUUACGUUUUGUGAGGAACUUACGUCAGUUUCAGGUUACGUUGGCAACAAAUUGUUCUCAAUUGGUGAAGAUGGUUUUGGAACCAGAAGAAUGACCAGUUUUUGCAAGUUAUUUGGAAGACAACAAAAACCAUGAAAGGAAGUUUCCUUGUAUCAGAGAUCAUUAAUGUACGAAGGACGCAAAAUUCAAAGGUGGAUAGCCUAGCACGCAGUGUCAGGAAGCAACCGUCUUUUUCCGUUCACAUGGAUGUAGAUCUUCCGGUUAGGUUCACAAAGUCAGUAUGAGUCUGUAUAAGUUGAUGAUAAAAAAAAAUUAUUAAUGUCGAAUAAAAAACCUAGCGAGUAACAUUAUAGAGUUACACAAACACUUUUACUGUAAGUCAUAUAUUUGAAAAAAAUUGCAAUAAUAUUAAAGUUAUACAUUUAUAAAAUGAAUAUUUACUCGGAGGGACGUACAUGUUAAAAUCUGGUAAUGACUUAUUCCUCCUUGUUGGUAUGUUAACAUGUCGUACUCCUGUUUCUGUAAGUUUUUUUGGAAUAGUUUCUACAAAAUUUAUAUAAUCAUGAAAUAAUAUAUAGACUUAAGUGUGGUAAUUACAAAUAAAAAAUAAUCACUACUACCAGAUUCAUGCAAGAAAAGGAAAAAAAAAACUAUAGAGAAAGAAAAGAUUAAAAACAUUUAUAUUUGUAAAUAUAUCAACAGUAAAAUUUUCACCAACUAUAUUUAUACUUAAUUAAAAUAAUUUAAUGACAAAUUUCUGUGAAAAUUUUUCAGUUUUUUUUAUAAAAAUUUAAUUAGAUAUCAUCUCUAUUAAAAAGUACAUUUAGAAAUAAAUUUUUUAUUCAUCUCUAUAUUGCUAAAUUUGCCCCUCAUUUUAAGACUAAGACUCGGGUCGUCAUUAAUGGUUAUAUACUCAAUUACUCUCAAGUAAUGAAAAUCAGAUUAAUUGCAUAAUUAUCAAGAAAAAAUUAAUGCUCGUGAUAUAAACUUACAUCAUUAGCUAUGCUUUAAAAAUGAUGGUGUGAUGGUUAAUGUCUUAUGCGGAAUGAAUAUUGUAUAUACAAAUUUUUUUACGUACUAUCAUUUUGAAUUUUUUACAAAUUACAAAAUUAUAAAAUAAAAAAUAUAUUGAAUAAUUCAAGGAGAAAUUAUAUGUUUACCACUUUUAUGGUACCACUUUUCAUUUUUACCACCACUAAAGAGACAUUUUCAAAAAUACCUUCUUCACUAAGUGGUAAAAGACAAACUCAAUGGACAAAAUCCAAGCAAACACAAGGGAAUUUUAAAAGAGAGAAAGAUAAGAGAUUUUUGGUUUUGGGAAUCCGUUUUAACCACCUCAAAGGCUGGAUUUCUCCCCAGCCAGCAGGCUUUCUCUUCCACCACCAAUCCCCAAAUGAAAAACUUUUCGAAUUUUUUUUUUUGAUAGAUCUUUUUCUUUUCUUUUUUUUUUGAUAGAUUGAGGAUGGUAAUGAGUGGCCCGGAUUCAAGAUAGAUAGAUGAAGAGUGUUUAUGAAGAAAUGGAAGAUGAGAAAGAUGAAUGAUUUAGAAGAUACCAAACGAGCGGCUCUGAUACCACUUGAAGGACCCUAAGAUCGGUUCACUCCAAUGGAUCAGAUUUGGAUAUGAACUCCGGAUGGAGAACUGAAUGGAUUGAAGGGUCGCACGAAGGUUGCGGAAAGGCCUUCGAUAUUCCCGACUCCAAAUGGUGCUUGAUAUGACUCACAAGACCACCAAGUGAAGGAUCUCUCGUCGUUGCUUGAUAUGACUCACAAGACCAACGAUUUGAGGAAGUGUUUAUUUGGAUAUGACUCACCAAGAAACAAGACAAGUUUUAAACGAAGAACAAAGAGUUUAAACUCAAAAGCUUUUGACAAAACGAUUUCUGAUCAUUUAAAUGAAAAGAGUUUCAUACUUAUAGAGUUUUGUAGAUCUAGGAAUUAAAUGAAAAGUAGAUCUAGAUCUAGAUCUAGUCUUUACACGGAAAUAAAGAGAAGAUUUAAUUAAUGUGACUGAUCGGCUUCCAUCAAGAUGCAUCUGAACCGGCUAAGUCCAAGGCGGUAAGGACAUUCACAUUGGUGGGACGAUCAGCAAGGGCCGCGGUACGUUCUGCUAAGGCCGUGGGGCGUUCUGAUCGGACAAGUUGCGUUCCGACAAAACCCAAGUCUUCUGAUAGCUUAAGGAUCCUUGCCUUAGAGAAAUUUCCAAAGGAAAAGUCCAUGAUCGGAUCAAACAAGGUAGCGAGAUCAUCAGCACGGUCGUCGGUACAUGCGGUACGAGCCAAUCGAGUCAAAAGAGAGAAGUCUCGAUCAUUUUGUGAAACCUCAUGAUCCAAGUCAAGUCUGGCAUGAUCUUUCUCAAGUCUGGCUUGGCUAUCAGUCUUGGCUUGUCGAGUUGGCCGGGAGAGACGGACUUCAGUUCGGUCAGUUCGAGCAUCUGGUCGAGGAUCUGGAUGAAGCUCCAAUCCGGAAGUUCGCGGGUAGAGCUGAUAGAUGGCCCGGUCGAUCUUUCUGAUCUGAUCGGUAGGAUGAACCUCAGCUGGGACGUCUGGAAUGUUCUGAUCGGUCUGGUCCAUGGACUGGGGCACAUCAGACGAUCUGGUCAGAGUCACAAAAUUACUCCACGACCUAGACCAGUUCAUCCACUAACUCGACCUGCUCCGUCAAGGCACAAGGCUUUGCAACCCGUACCUAGAGUUAGCGUUUUCCGUUAGAUCGAGGCCUAAGGCUUUUCAACCCGUACUACGACCUAAUGUUGUGUUAGACCGGAGUAGUCAAAUAUCAGAGUACUCAUGAAGCGCAUAUAAAACAAUUAAUUUUAUUGAUUUAGGAAAUAUUCACACAUAGAAUAAUCAAGACUAGGCCCAGCCUAAUGCCAAAUCGAGUCAACUUAACACAAUUCACAAUACCGUUUACAAAAGGCAUGAAAAUCUACACCGGCCGUCCUAACGUCCAUCUCCAAGCUAUCCAAUCAUCCUUACCUAAAGCAACCUGCAAAAAGGACAACGGAGUUGGAUGAGUAACCUAACGUUACUCAAUGAGCUGGCGGCCUCUACCCGCAACCUAGACUCUAACCCAGACAACCCAAAAUAACAAACAAUCUAGUCCUAGCAUGCAAUAAAAGCUAAGGCUAAGCAAACCGUUACUAAGUCAGACUUGGCCUUCUGUCAUGAUCUAGCUUCAAGUAACGGGAACCUGCAUUAAAACAACUCAACAACCAAUCCCUAGUUAACCAUAUAUACGCUUGAGCUCAGUAUUGAUGUAGUGUUAGAUACUUAAACUAUGCAAGUAUCAUUAGUCGGUCGACCAACAAUCAGACAAGAACAUGAUCGGCCAACCAAUGAUACCGCAUAGCUUUAAUAUGCACCACCCUUCACAAGCAAUCCCUCAAACACAUACAUACCAAUGUCAGGCCUACACUAACGAAAUACACACCAAGCUUAAUCCGGUACCUAAGCCAGACUUAGUACUUAAUGUCAGAACCUGCAAACAAAUCAAUCAAC